AUUGAACGCUGGCGGCAUGCCUUACACAUGCAAGUCGAACGGCAGCGCGGACUUCGGUCUGGCGGCGAGUGGCGAACGGGUGAGUAAUGUAUCGGAACGUACCAUUCAGUGGGGGAUGACGCAGCGAAAGUUGCGCUAAUACCGCAUAUUCUGUGCGCAGGAAAGCAGGGGAUCGCAAGACCUUGCGCUGAUUGAGCGGCCGAUAUCAGAUUAGCUAGUUGGUGAGGUAAAGGCUCACCAAGGCGACAAUCUGUAGCGGGUCUGAGAGGAUGAUCCGCCACACUGGAGCUGAGACACGGUCCAGACUCCUACGGGAGGCAGCAGUGGGGAAUUUUGGACAAUGGGCGCAAGCCUGAUCCAGCCAUGCCGCGUGAGUGAAGAAGGCCUUCGGGUUGUAAAGCUCUUUCGGCCGGGAAGAAAUCGUAUGGGUUAAUACCCUGUGCGGAUGACGGUACCGGCAUAAGAAGCACCGGCUAACUACGUGCCAGCCGCCGCAGUAACAC
rnacentral:rRNA from 1 species